CACUUUCGAGGUGCGACUAAGCCAUGCGAGUCGAAUGUAGCAAUACAUGGCGAACUGCUCAGUAACACGUGGACAACCUACCCUUAGGCCUGGGAUAACCCCGGGAAACUGGGACGAUAAUACCGGAUACGGCGCGAAUGCUGGAAUGCGUCGCGCCAGCAAGCUCCGGCGCCUAAGGAUGGGUCUGCGGCCUAUCAGGGAUAGCAGUGGGUGUAACGGACCUACUAGCCUACGACGGGUACGGGUCGUGAGAGCAAGAGCCCGGAGAUGGAUUCUGAGACACGAAUCCAGGCCCUACGGGGUGCAGCAGGCGCGAAAACUUUACAAUGCUGGCAACAGCGAUAAGGGGACCUCGAAGUGCCAGGAUACAAUCCUGGCUGUCGUAAUGCCUAAAAAGCAUUGCAUAGCAAGGGCCGGGCAAGACCGGUGCCAGCCGCCGCGGUAACACCGGCGGCUCGAGUGGUAACCGCUAUUAUUGGGUCUAAAGGGUCUGUAGCCGGCUGGAUAAGUCUCUUGGGAAAUCCGGCAGCUUAACUGUCGGGCUUUUCAGGAGAUACUGUCUGGCUCGAGACCGGGAGAGGUGAGAGGUACUUCAGGGGUANGGGUGAAACUUGCUGACCG
rnacentral:rRNA from 1 species